UACGUAGGUGGCAAGCGUUGUCCGGAAUUAUUGGGCGUAAAGCGCGCGCAGGCGGUUUCUUAAGUCUGAUGUGAAAGCCCGCAGCUCAACUGUGGAGGGUCAUUGGAAACUGGGGAACUUGAGUGCAGAAGAGGAAAGCGGAAUUCCAUGUGUAGCGGUGAAAUGCGUAGAGAUAUGGAGGAACACCAGUGGCGAAGGCGGCUUUCUGGUCUGCAACUGACGCUGAGGCGCGAAAGCGUGGGGAGCGAACAGG
rnacentral:misc_RNA from 1 species